rnacentral:rRNA from 4 species
AAACUUUCAACAACGGAUCUCUUGGCUCUGGCAUCGAUGAAGAACGCAGCGAAACGCGAUAAGUAAUGUGAAUUGCAGAAUUUAGUGAAUCAUCGAAUCUUUGAACGCACAUUGCGCCCGCCAGUAUUCUGGCGGGCAUGCCUGUCCGAGCGUCAUUA